UACAGAGGUCCCAAGCGUUGUUCGGAUUCAUUGGGCGUAAAGGGUGCGUAGGCGGCGCGGUAAGUCGGGUGUGAAAUCUCGGAGCUUAACUCCGAAACUGCAUUCGAUACUGCCGUGCUUGAGGACUGGAGAGGAGACUGGAAUUUACGGUGUAGCGGUGAAAUGCGUAGAUAUCAGGAGGAACACCGAUGGCGAAGGCAGGUCUCUGGGCCACUACUGACGCUGAGAAGCGAAAGCAUGGGGAGCGAACAGG
rnacentral:rRNA from 1 species